rnacentral:rRNA from 1 species
GAUGAACGCUGGCGGCGUGCCUAAUACAUGCAAGUCGAGCGAACAGAUGAGGAGCUUGCUCCUCUGACGUUAGCGGCGGACGGGUGAGUAACACGUGGAUAACCUACCUAUAAGACUGGGAUAACUUCGGGAAACCGGAGCUAAUACCGGAUAAUAUAUUGAACCGCAUGGUUCAAUAGUGAAAGACGGUUUUGCUGUCACUUAUAGAUGGAUCCGCGCCGCAUUAGCUAGUUGGUAAGGUAACGGCUUACCAAGGCAACGAUGCGUAGCCGACCUGAGAGGGUGAUCGGCCACACUGGAACUGAGACACGGUCCAGACUCCUACGGGAGGCAGCAGUAGGGAAUCUUCCGCAAUGGGCGAAAGCCUGACGGAGCAACGCCGCGUGAGUGAUGAAGGUCUUCGGAUCGUAAAACUCUGUUAGUAGGGAAGAACAAAUGUGUAAGUAACUAUGCACGUCUUGACGGUACCGAAUCAGAAAGCCACGGCUAACUACGUG